AUGCCUAGUGUAUGUUCUUUGUUCUGAAAUGGUAUAUAACCAUGAUGUAAACCAUACUUCCCUGGAGGGCUUUCCUCCCUAGCCAAGAGAGUGUUUCCAGACUAGUCCUCUAAUACGCUCAUUAAAUCUCUCUUUCUUCUCUAUAGAUUGGUUACUGAUUAUUUGUACCUGACAGGUGGGAUCCAAAGAAACCCCCACCCCCAGGACUCUGAAGGUGGUGAGCAACCAGGUGCUGGCGUCCCCAGAGCCCCUUGAGCUUGCUGCUUUCUCAUGGGCCUGGAGUUUUGUAAGUCUGGAGACACCUGGAGAAGGUGUUCCUGCAAAAAUGCUUCAUCUUCAAAGAGAUUCAUGGGAAAGAUCCUGACAAGUACUUUAAAAUGCGGGUUUCUGAUACUUUUAAGAUAGUGACACCGAACUGGAAAAAACAUCACAACAGAUUAUGAAUGGGCAAGCUUCAUACCUGAUGCUGUAUGGGCCACUCAAGAAAGUUCAACAAAACACCUGAUGACAGCAUCAAAGACAGUCAAACUGCAAACCAGGAAAGUCCAUCGGACUAAAACUGCCAUCCUCAUUGCACCAUCUGAAGAUGCUUCCAACCCAAAUCUAGUAAUGGUCUCAACUGGCUGCUCUCCAAACUCAAAAAAUGAAUUUAUAAUUUGCUCCAACUAUUAACCUUUGUUUUUUCUCUUGUGUCCACAGAAGUGCCUUUAAUUAAAUUACCUGAUUCUUCAUAUCACAUACAGGCCUAAUUUAGGUGGAAGCUCACCUGCAACACUGCCGCCUGAAAUUAACUCCUCAUGUCCAUCCUGUCCUGAGUAAUCAUGAGGAUAUGUCAUGAAUAUAGCAUGUUGUGUCCACGUAAAAACCUCAGAAAAAAAAUCUGAAACCCACUUAUACAUUAUCUCCCUCCCCCCAAGGAUGUAGAUUGACUUAGGUAAAACCUGAACCUUAUUAUAACCCAUUUGAGUUAUUUAAUUGGUUAAAUCUUGGCUCCUGGGAAUCUCUGCUCUGGGGAAUUUUUACAUCCUUGGCUAGUGUUCUCCUUAUAAGUCAUCAUAUUAACCUCUCUAGUGCAUUGUAUCCUCUCAAGGGUUUUAAAUGCCUUUUGGCAGCUAAUCAUACACACAUCAAAUGAUAUCCACCGGGAUUAGACAACUCGAAGAACUGACUGCCCAUGUCCAUGAUGAUGACAGUGCAAGUGUUAGUAACAGUGACUACAUGACCCUCCAUCCUGUCCACUCAACUGGUAGAAACAGCAAAUAUGUUAUUCUUCAGACUGGCUAUAUCAACAGUAGUAAACUAGAGUGCACUAUACUUGGCACGCGGAGAGAAUGAUGAAAAGAGGGAAUUGUUAAAAUCAAAUAAUGGGGACCAAACUUGGAAAUUCCCUGAGCAGACAAAACCAGUUUUGUCACACAGGCAAAGCUUAAUUUAGCUUAUUUUGCAAAACAAGUGAGACUAACUUGACCUGGGCCAUUUCUUGCUUAUGCUUCUGGAAAUCACAAGCAAACCUUAAACUAUUUCCCAAAAUUCAUAUGAGGUAACCACUCACCAAUUCCAUAUCAUUUAAGAAAAUUCUAAUAUUACAGCCAAUCACUGUGAAGAAUGGAGUCAUUGCCUUCUAACUACAUAAGCUACUUUGUAACAAUAGAUCCCUGAGCCUCAUUCCAUGUUUUGCUUUGAGUACUCUCUUCACAAGCUGUCUUUUUGGUGUGUGCACAAUAAACUUUUGCUAAUAACUAC